GAUGAACGCUGGCGGCGUGCUUAACACAUGCAAGUCGAACGAAGCACUUUAUUUGAUUUCCUUCGGGACUGAUUAUUUUGUGACUGAGUGGCGGACGGGUGAGUAACGCGUGGGUUACCUGCCUUGUACAGGGGGAUAACAGUUGGAAACGGCUGCUAAUACCGCAUAAGCGCACAGCAUCGCAUGAUGCAGUGUGAAAAACUCCGGUGGUAUAAGAUGGACCCGCGUUGGAUUAGCUAGUUGGUGAGGUAACGGCCCACCAAGGCGACGAUCCAUAGCCGACCUGAGAGGGUGACCGGCCACAUUGGGACUGAGACACGGCCCAAACUCCUACGGGAGGCAGCAGUGGGGAAUAUUGCACAAUGGGCGAAAGCCUGAUGCAGCGACGCCGCGUGAGCGAAGAAGUAUUUCGGUAUGUAAAGCUCUAUCAGCAGGGAAGAUAAUGACGGUACCUGACUAAGAAGCACCGGCUAAAUACGUG
rnacentral:rRNA from 1 species